UAUUGCACCAGGCUGCAACACCCACCACAACAGAGUCUCCUCCACCAUGUCUAUCACCGACUUUCUCGCAGCCUCGGACAUCACUUCGGCUAUUAACGCUUGUAAAGCGAAGGAUUCCUUUAGCCCCAAGAUGUUUUUCAAAACAGUGGGUUUAUCCAAGAAAACUCCAACAGAGAUCGAGAGGGUCUUUAAGAUUUUGGACCAGGACAAAAGCGGCUUUAUAGAACAGGAUGAGUUACAACUGUUCCUGCAGAACUUCUCCAAAGGAGCGAGGCUCCUGACUGCAGCUGAGACCAGAGGUUUCCUGCUGGAGGGAGACUCGGACGGAGACGGGAAGAUCGGCCGGGAAGGUAUGCAGGUCUGAGGAGCACUUCACUGUAGAUGGUGAUCAGGGGUCUGCUUGUAUUUCUGCUUUAUCAGAGUUUUCUGCGCUGGUCAAGUCUUCAUAAACAUGCGUGGCCUCUCUGACUUGUUGGAUGGUGAAAAUCUCAGGGUGGACCUCUUUUUAUAAUAUUUACUAGCUACAGUAGAUUACAAGACUGAUACGGGGACAUUAUGUGUUUAGAAUCAUGAGUUGUACUUUUUUGGGAAAGUGCUGUAAUAAAUCUUUAAUACAUUAAA